CAUUAAAAAUUUCAUUCAUUUUUACUAUUAAAAACUAAUAUGACUGGUAGAAUAACUAAACAGUGACACGUGGCAUAUCACAUGUAUCUCAUGCUGACGUAUAGAGACCAUUUUUUAAUAGCAGAAGUGGAUUAAAUUUUUAACA
rfam:Gossypium hirsutum cultivar TM-1 chromosome 14, whole genome shotgun sequence